AUUGAACGCUGGCGGCAGGCCUAACACAUGCAAGUCGGACGGUAGCACAGAGGAGCUUGCUCCUCGGGUGACGAGUGGCGGACGGGUGAGUAAUGUCUGGGGAUCUGCCCGAUAGAGGGGGAUAACCACUGGAAACGGUGGCUAAUACCGCAUAACGUCGCAAGACCAAAGAGGGGGACCUUCGGGCCUCCCACUAUCGGAUGAACCCAGAUGGGAUUAGCUAGUAGGCGGGGGUAACGGCCCACCUAGGCGACGAUCCCUAGCUGGUCUGAGAGGAUGACCAGCCACACUGGAACUGAGACACGGUCCAGACUCCUACGGGAGGCAGCAGUGGGGAAUAUUGCACAAUGGGCGCAAGCCUGAUGCAGCCAUGCCGCGUGUAUGAAGAAGGCCUUCGGGUUGUAAAGUACUUUCAGCGGGGAGGAAGGCGAUGUGGUUAAUAAUCGCGUCGAUUGACGUUACCCGCAGAAGAAGCACCGGCUAACUCCGUGCCAGCCGCCGCGGUAA
rnacentral:rRNA from 1 species